rnacentral:rRNA from 1 species
CUGGCUCAGGAUGAACGCUAGCUACAGGCUUAACACAUGCAAGUCGAGGGGCAUCAGGGCGAUAGCUUGCUAUCGUUGCUGGCGACCGGCGCACGGGUGAGUAACGCGUAUCCAACCUGGCCCCCCAGUAGGGAAUAGCCCGGCGAAAGCCGGAUUAAUGCCCUAUGUUAUCCGAAGAGGACAUCUGAUUUGGAUUAAAGAUUGAUCGCUGGGGGAUGGGGAUGCGUCCGAUUAGGUAGUAGGCGGGGCAACGGCCCACCUAGCCGACGAUCGGUAGGGGUUCUGAGAGGAAGGUCCCCCACACUGGAACUGAGACACGGUCCAGACUCCUACGGGAGGCAGCAGUGAGGAAUAUUGGUCAAUGGGCGUAAGCCUGAACCAGCCAAGUAGCGUGCAGGAUGACGGCCCUACGGGUUGUAAACUGCUUUUGGAGGGGAAUAACAGGCACUACGUGUAGUGUUUUGCAUGUACCCUCAGAAUAAGGACCGGCUAAUUCCGUGCCAGCAGCCGC